UACGAAGGGGGCUAGCGUUGCUCGGAAUCACUGGGCGUAAAGCGCACGUAGGCGGAUUGCUAAGUCGGGGGUGAAAUCCUGGGGCUCAACCUCAGAAUUGCCUCCGAUACUGGCAGUCUCGAGUGCGGGAGAGGUGAGUGGAAUUCCCAGUGUAGAGGUGAAAUUCGUAGAUAUUGGGAAGAACACCAGUGGCGAAGGCGGCUCACUGGCCCGUAACUGACGCUGAGGUGCGAAAGCGUGGGGAGCAAACAGG
rnacentral:rRNA from 1 species